rnacentral:tRNA from 1 species
GGGGCAGUAGCUCAGUGGUAGAGCUCCCACUUCAUAUACGGUAAACAUGGAUUCGAUUGCCGGCUGCUUCC